rnacentral:rRNA from 1 species
UACGUAGGGGGCGAGCGUUGUCCGGAGUUACUGGGCGUAAAGCGCACGCAGGCGGUCUCCUGCGUUCGGAGUGACAGUCCUCAGCUUAACUGGGGAAGCGCUUGGAAGACGGGGAGACUUGAGGGCUCAAGAGGGACACGGAAUUCCGGGUGGAGUGGUGAAAUGCGUAGAUAUCCGGAGGAACACCAAAGGCGUAGGCAGUGUCCUGGGGAGUCGCUGACGCUCAGGUGCGAAAGCCAGGGGAGCGAACGGG